GUCAGUCUCUGCACCGCUCGCUUAGGGCGCUUGAAAAUGCAGCGCUUCGAACACAAAUCUCACUCGGGUCUGGACCAAAACGACUACGUCGGAGAAAAUUUGAAGCAGCGUGGUCUCGGUCUGCUUUCAAGCGACGUGUAAUGAGGUUUUUUUUUGUUGUUUUUUUUUUUACUGUAACGUGUUUCAAACUAGCUGCAGGAUGUGAAUCGGACACGCUACGUGUUACUGGUUGCAGAAGCAUUCUUUAAACGAGACAGAAGGCACACAGUAAACGCGUACCGCUUAUCCUACACGGGGUCACGAGGGAGGCUGGAGCCCUUCCUGGGGAACUUGGGGAAAACUCUAAAUAACCCACAAUAAAAUCGAUUAUUACCACACAUGGUGAUUAGUGUGCAUGAACGAUUUUUUAAAGUCAUGUUCAAUUCCCUUAAUCUGUAUUAAUGCACUGAAGUAGCUUCUAAUGCAUUAUUACGUUUUAGCCUAGCCAAUUAGGUUUCCAGGCAACCAAAACAUGGGACUGUGCUAGCUGAUACCUUAUGCGAUUUGUCUCAUUAUGAUUAUUAUUUAGUGCCAGCACUGUGUUCUCCAUGCUUGCUUAUUUCCAACAGCCCCGCUUCUUUCGCAUGUCUCCCUCAGCACGUGUUUAAAUUUUCUGACCCGUAUGAAAUUCCAGCAGCAUGAAAUUAAAUUUCAGUAUGAAACGUUGACACGUAGAGUAAAAGAAAAAGCCCCCCCCCCUUACCACUUCAUCCUUCUCUUCAAGAUCUUUCUGCAGCUGAAUCUUCUCGUCCCUCAGGCCCUGCAGCAGUUCCAGAAGCUGGUCUCUCUCCUGAGUCACGAAGGCGAUAUCUGACCGAACCUGUUCCAUCUCAGCCACGUGAGAAAGACUCUGCUGGGUCGACUCUGAUAGAAGGUGCUCUCUCUCUGCACUCAUAGACUGAAGCUCCUGUCUUAACUGCAUGACCUGUGGGGGGGAAAUAAACAAAUAUUAAACAGACAUGGAGUAGGAUUGUUAUCUUAUCUUAUCUUAUCUUAUCUAUCUAUCUAUAUAUACACACACAUAUACAUACAUACAUACAUACAUACACACAUACAUAUACACACACACACGUACACAAACCCCUCCUUUCGGACUCCCCUAAAUCACACUACGGCACGCUCCUGUUCUUCACACAGGCUCUUUUCAUUUUCACCACCAGCUUGUGCGAGUCCCUACCGUUUCGUUGGUCUCCACAAGUUCAGUCUUCAGCCGGUUAUUCUCCUCUCUCGUCUGGUCUCUCUCUUCAGUCAGAGACGCGAUACGGACCUGAUGCCUCUCCGACUCGGCUUUGCUAUCCAGCUCGUCUUUAGAUUUCUCAGCCAACAAGUUGUCCUUUUCGGCCGUAGCAGAUCGGAGCUCGUCCGUCAACUGAGUCAGCUGCAACACACACAUUCACAAUCACAUUAAAGUUCAAGACACGACUUCUUUCUCUCUUUAUGUUUACUAAGAGAUUCCUACUACUUGAACAGAAAAAAAAAAAAUUAAGGCAAGAUUAGGAUUACCAUCCGAUUCUUGUCCUCCAGCUCACUGCUCAUCUGGUUCUUCUCCUCUCUCAGGCCCUGCAGGAUCUCCAGCAGUUGGUCUCUUUCUUCACUGAGAGCGGAUACACUCGCCUGAAUCGUCUCCAGUGCAGCGUCCACCGCAGAGUCUUUAGUCGCAGCGUCUCUGUCUGCAGUAGUGACCUCGCGCUCCUCUCUCAGCUGUAUAAUCUGAGAAGACGUCAACAUUAGCGUUUCGCUUACAUUCUUGAAAGUUUUCCAAUAAAUAAAUAAAUAAAUAAAUAAAUAAAUAAAAUAAUAAUAAUAAUAAUAAUGAGUAAUUCUGACCAUGUCUUCCUCUUCCUUCUCUUCUAGGAUACUCUUUAUCUGGCUCUUUUCUUCCCUCAGUCUUCUCACACAGAAGCUGAUCUCUUUCACAACGAACAGACUGGAUUUCUUCACCCAACUGCUCCGUCUGUAUAGGAGGUACAUAAACACUAAAUAGACAUUCCCAAAAUACAAACAAAACAAAAAAACCCAACAAAAGUAAAUAACUAAUUUCUUUGACUGGGACACUUAAACUCACUUUUCGGUUGGCUUCUUCCAAAGACGUGAGCAUUCUGCCAUUUUCAACAGUAAAGUGCUCCAGGUCUGCCCGAGCCUUCAUGAGCUGCUCAGUGGUCUCCAUGAGCUGCUGGCUGGUUUCAGCUUCCUUCAGCUGUGAAUCAAUCAUCUGACUCUCCAUCCUGAGAAGUUCCUCUCGGGCCGUUUCCAUUUCUUCCUUAAGUCUUAGAUGUUCUUCAUUCAAGGUGGACUGAGCAACAAGCAGAUUGCUCUUCUCAUCUUGCACAGCCCUGAGAGUUCCUGACAGCUCACCAACCUGAGAAUAAAAACGUGCUUUCCAUAAAAAUGUUUUAAACCCUUCCAAAAAACACCCCACACCAUCUUUAAGCUCAAUACAUCACAGCAUACUCAGUAAAUUUAGUUGGGCUUUGCCAAAAUACAAGUACCAACUAAACAUUGGAGCAUUACAACAAAGUAUGUAACUGAAAAGGUACAAAAAAAACAAACAAAAAAAAAAAAACAAAGGAUCUGUCCAAUCUCCUGCUAGAAUGGUGCUACAAAAGAAGCAACACGUAAACAUCCCCAUUACGUUCACAUUUAUAUUACGAUAACACUUCCCUAAUGGGUGUUUAUUAUUUAUUUUUUUUAAGCACAGGCCUGACCUCUUCAUUCUUUCACAAAAGACCUUCACAUUCCCAAAUGAUCUCACGACCACCGUGGAAAGUCUAGAAAAAGGCGUUUACGCCGCCUGCUGUUUUUAAUCCAACGUUAAUCAAAAGUUCAAAACUUAAAACUGCACACAAACGGCAUUUAUCUAUACAGUUUAAAAUCCCUAAGCUUGAUGGAGUCCCUACCUUGUCAGUCAUGUCCUGGAGUUCUGUCCUAAGCCAGGAAUUCUGCUGAGACAACUCUUCAUCCUGCAUCUACACAUCAAUAGAAUAUUGUAGAAUGCUAGAGAGGAAAAAUUUUUUCCAUCCCAAACCAAUCCCACCAAUACCUGUUGUAGCUGAACUUCCUUCUCGUCAUUACUAACGCAGUUUGAGUCAGAAAACUUCUUCUCGCUCGACUGAGACUGGAAGCAGAUAAUCUGAAAAACAAUCAUGUUAAAAACAAAAUAACGGCAUUAAUCCUGGGCACGUUUUGAAAUAUGCCUCACUGAGCUCGAUGCUUGGCUUGUGCCUUGAAUUGAAAAAGAAGUGCUGUUGAACUAGUCUUCAUAUUCAAAACUGGCUCCAGCUGAAGAACCCAUAAUCCUGUAGAACACGCCUUAAUUCACACACAUUUCCUCCCUUCUCACCAGCUCAUCCUUUUCCUCCAGUUCUCUCUUUAGCUGGCUUUUCUCUUCUCUCAGUCCCUGCAGUAUCUCUUGAAGCUGGUCUCUCUCUUCAGUCAGAGAGCUGAUACUGGUCUGCAUCCUUUCCAACUCGGACUCGAGGGCUUUCUCGGACUCGAUCUUGUCCCUUUCUGAACAUGCAGACUGCAGAUCCUCUUUCAGCUGCUUCACCUGGAAACCAAACAGUUCUGGUUAGGUUGGGAUUAUUUAGAAACCUGGGAUUAUUUACACACCGAUUCCCAUGUUAAUACCAGUUAUUAAUUAUGAUUGCAGUUAUUCGUUGUGAAGCAGCCUGAGAAAAGGCUUCAUGUGGCAAAAUGGGGUGACAUUUUAUACUAUAUAGAGUGCUGAAAACUAAAUGGUUCAGAAACAGAAAUAUCAAAACAUGCAUAUUUUUGACAAUCGGUAUCUGACCUGAUAAGGUGAACCACCUGGACCGUAUGAUAUUCGAU
ensembl:lncRNA